UCGAACGGUAACAGGAAGAAGCUUGCUUCUUUGCUGACGAGUGGCGGACGGGUGAGUAAUGUCUGGGAAACUGCCUGAUGGAGGGGGAUAACUACUGGAAACGGUAGCUAAUACCGCAUAACGUCGCAAGACCAAAGAGGGGGACCUUCGGGCCUCUUGCCAUCGGAUGUGCCCAGAUGGGAUUAGCUAGUAGGUGGGGUAACGGCUCACCUAGGCGACGAUCCCUAGCUGGUCUGAGAGGAUGACCAGCCACACUGGAACUGAGACACGGUCCAGACUCCUACGGGAGGCAGCAGUGGGGAAUAUUGCACAAUGGGCGCAAGCCUGAUGCAGCCAUGCCGCGUGUAUGAAGAAGGCCUUCGGGUUGUAAAGUACUUUCAGCGGGGAGGAAGGGAGUAAAGUUAAUACCUUUGCUCAUUGACGUUACCCGCAGAAGAAGCACCGGCUAACUCCGUGCCAGCAGCCGCGGUAAUACGGAGGGUGCAAGCGUUAAUCGGAAUUACUGGGCGUAAAGCGCACGCAGGCGGUUUGUUAAGUCAGAUGUGAAAUCCCCGGGCUCAACCUGGGAACUGCAUCUGAUACUGGCAAGCUUGAGUCUCGUAGAGGGGGGUAGAAUUCCAGGUGUAGCGGUGAAAUGCGUAGAGAUCUGGAGGAAUACCGGUGGCGAAGGCGGCCCCCUGGACGAAGACUGACGCUCAGGUGCGAAAGCGUGGGGAGCAAACAGGAUUAGAUACCCUGGUAGUCCACGCCGUAAACGAUGUCGACUUGGAGGUUGUGCCCUUGAGGCGUGGCUUCCGGAGCUAACGCGUUAAGUCGACCGCCUGGGGAGUACGGCCGCAAGGUUAAAACUCAAAUGAAUUGACGGGGGCCCGCACAAGCGGUGGAGCAUGUGGUUUAAUUCGAUGCAACGCGAAGAACCUUACCUGGUCUUGACAUCCACAGAACUUUCCAGAGAUGGAUUGGUGCCUUCGGGAACUGUGAGACAGGUGCUGCAUGGCUGUCGUCAGCUCGUGUUGUGAAAUGUUGGGUUAAGUCCCGCAACGAGCGCAACCCUUAUCUUUUGUUGCCAGCGGUCCGGCCGGGAACUCAAAGGAGACUGCCAGUGAUAAACUGGAGGAAGGUGGGGGAUGACGUCAAGUCAUCAUGGCCCUUACGACCAGGGCUACACACGUGCUACAAUGGCGCAUACAAAGAGAAGCGACCUCGCGAGAGCAAGCGGACCUCAUAAAGUGCGUCGUAGUCCGGAUUGGAGUCUGCAACUCGACUCCAUGAAGUCGGAAUCGCUAGUAAUCGUGGAUCAGAAUGCCACGGUGAAUACGUUCCCGGGCCUUGUACACACCGCCCGUCACACCAUGGG
rnacentral:rRNA from 1 species